CGGUCCUAAGGUAGCGAAAUUCCUUGUCGGGUAAGUUCCGACCUGCACGAAUGGCAUAAUGAUGGCCAGGCUGUCUCCACCCGAGACUCAGUGAAAUUGAAAUCGCCGUGAAGAUGCGGUGUACCCGCGGCUAGACGGAAAGACCCCGUGAACCUUUACUAUAGCUUGACACUGAACAUUGAAUUUUGAUGUGUAGGAUAGGUGGGAGACUUAGAAGCAGUCACGCCAGUGAUUGUGGAGUCGUCCUUGAAAUACCACCCUUUAACGUUUGAUGUUCUAACGAAGAUUACGAAACGUGGUCUCGGACAGUGUCUGGUGGGUAGUUUGACUGGGGCGGUCUCCUCCCAAAGAGUAACGGAGGAGCACGAAGGUUUGCUAAUGACGGUCGGACAUCGUCAGGUUAGUGCAAUGGUAUAAGCAAGCUUAACUGCGAGACAGACAAGUCGAGCAGGUACGAAAGUAGGUCAUAGUGAUCCGGUGGUUCUGAAUGGAAGGGCCAUCGCUCAACGGAUAAAAGGUACUCCGGGGAUAACAGGCUGAUACCGCCCAAGAGUUCAUAUCGACGGCGGUGUUUGGCACCUCGAUGUCGGCUCAUCACAUCCUGGGGCUGAAGUAGGUCCCAAGGGUAUGGCUGUUCGCCAUUUAAAGUGGUACGCGAGCUGGGUUUAGAACGUCGUGAGACAGUUCGGUCCCUAUCUGCCGUGGGCGUUGGAGAAUUGAUUGGGGCUGCUCCUAGUACGAGAGGACCGGAGUGGACGCACCACUGGUGUUCCGGUUGUGUCGCCAGACGCAUUGCCGGGUAGCUAAGUGCGGAAGAGAUAAGUGCUGAAAGCAUCUAAGCACGAAACUUGCCAAGAGAUGAGUUCUCCCAGAUUACAAAUCUGUAAGGGUUGUUUAAGACUAAGACGUAGAUAGGCAUGGUGUGUAAGCGGUGCGAGCCGUUGAGCUAACAUGUACUAAUUGCCCGAGAGGCUUAACUAU
rnacentral:rRNA from 1 species